CUUUAUACUACAGACAGUAUAGUUGGCAGCAAAGCAGGUCUAGCAAUAUCGCAGUUCUGAUCGUUCGUCUACAAUAUACUAUAAAACAGUCGAGUUUAGCGAGUCGGUGUCAUUGAUGACCUCCGUGGAAAGGAUUCUUCAGUACAUGAACCUUCCUAAGAAAGAACCUAUUACCUCGGACAAUCCACCGUCACCUACAUGGCCAUCCCAAGGACAAUUGAUUUUAAAGGAUGUGAACAUGAAAUAUCAUAUCGAUGAUUCACCAGUUUUGAAGGUAUAAAAUAAAUUGAAGAAUCUGAAUGCAUCCAUCGAGCCUGGCUGGAAAAUUGGGAUGGUUGGACGAAUUGACGCCGGCAAGUCCUCCUUGAUCUCGGCACUUUUCCGCUUGUUCAAUGAAGGUCUAGAAGGCGAGAUCAAAAUCGAUGGUCGGGACACAAGCACGAUGGACCUCAGUAAACUGCGCUGCAAAAUCUCCAUUAUACCUAUUAACCAUUAUACAGAAACCUGUGCUCUUUUCUGAGAGUCUAUGUUACAAUCUGAAUUUAAUCAAUACGAUGACUUCAAGCUAUGGGAGGUGUUGCGGCAAGUCCAGCUGAAUGAUGUUACACUGGACUGGAUACGAUAUCUUCAACAUCGGUCAGAGGUAACUCAUAUGCCUGGCCAGAGCCAUCUUGAAAAACAAUCGCUUGCUCGUUCUCGAUGAAGUCACGACAAUAUUGAUUCGCAGAAUUGAAAAUGUGCUUACAUAAACUUGCUAGACGACAUAUUGGAAGCACUCGGAACACCAAAGGAAUAUCAAC
rnacentral:misc_RNA from 1 species